rnacentral:rRNA from 1 species
AAUAGAUACCCGGGUAGUCCUAGCCGUAAACGAUACUCGCUAGGUGUCGGCCACGGUGCGACCGUUGUCGGUGCCGUAGGGAAGCCGUGAAGCGAGCCACCUGGGAAGUACGGCCGCAAGGCUGAAACUUAAAGGAAUUGGCGGGGGAGCACCACAACGGGUGGAGCUUGCGGUUUAAUUGGAUUCAACGCCGGAAAUCUUACCGGGACCGACAGCAAUAUGAAGGCCAGGCUGAAGACUUUGCCGGAUUAGCUGAGAGGUGGUGCAUGGCCGUCGUCAGUUCGUACUGUGAAGCAUCCUGUUAAGUCAGGCAACGAGCGAGACCCACGCCCACAGUCGCCAGCGUACUCUCCGGAGUGACGGGUACACUGUGGGGACCGCCGCUGCUAAAGCGGAGGAAGGAAUGGGCAACGGUAGGUCAGUAUGCCCCGAAUAUCCCGGGCUACACGCGAGCUACAAUGGUUGGUACAAUGGGUAUCUACCCCGAAAGGGGAUGGAAAUCUCCUAAAGCCAAUCUUAGUUCGGAUUGAGGGCUGCAACUCGCCCUCA